UGGGAUUAGAUACCCCACUAUGCUUAGCCCUAAACCUAGAUAGUUAACCCAAACAAAACUAUCCGCCAGAGAACUACUAGCAACAGCUUAAAACUCAAAGGACUUGGCGGUGCUUUAUAUCCCUCUAGAGGAGCCUGUUCCAUAAUCGAUAAACCCCGAUAAACCUCACCAUCUCUUGCUAAUUCAGCCUAUAUACCGCCAUCUUCAGCAAACCCUAAAAAGGAAGAAAAGUAAGCACAAGUAUCUUAACAUAAAAAAGUUAGGUCAAGGUGUAGCCCAUGAGAUGGGGAAGUAAUGGGCUACAUUUUCUACAACUAGAACAUCCACGAAAAUCCUUAUGAAAUUAAGUAUUAAAGGAGGAUUUAGUAGUAAAUUCGAGAAUAGAGAGCUCGAUUGAAUCGGRCCAUGAAGCACGCACACACCGCCCGUCA
rnacentral:rRNA from 1 species